GGAGCCACCGUCUUCCUUCUCCCAACAGCCGCACGCUCCCUCUCCAUUUUUCUCUCCAGCCAUGGCGAAUCUCUGCUCAUAUCCCGCGCGCGCUUACUCCCCAUGGCCGCCGCGCGCCGCGCGCACUGCUCCCUAGAGCCCACCGUGCCUAGCCUCUGCUCGGAUCCGAGCUGUCUUCGCCAUCCGCGCGCCCCCUGUUUCUCCUUGGCCAGAGCUUUGUCCUUUCUCCCUCUCCCAUGGCCGAGCGCCUUUGGUGUUUUCCCUGUGCGCUCCUCUGCCGGUGCCCACCUCCAUGGACGCGCGCAGCUUCCUUAAAUCAUUUCCAUGGCCGGCAUUUCUCCCUGUUUUCCCCAGGGUCUGCUCCCUCUGCUCACCAUGGCUGACCACGCGACUCCUCUGUGCGCGCCCUGCCUUUUCCCCGCGCGCAGCUCGCCCCAACGUCGAGCUCGGCCCUAUCCUCUGCUCAAGCUUGGUCCCUGCUUUUCUCCCUCUCUGCUCGGCCUCUGCUCAUCCGGCACCGUGGAGUCUCUGCGCACGUGUCGCGCGCUCUAGCGGCUGCAACUUGCCGUGCUCCCCUGCGUGUCGCGCGUCCCUCCCAUGGCUGCCUUGGGACCUACUGUCGACCCUUCGGCGUUGUCUCCUCUGGCGGCUUGCGCUUGAAAUUUCGCCGUGCGCCACGAUGAGCUUGUCGUAGAACCUGCCUAGUCGCUGCGUGUGUUUGUGUCCGAGCCCGCCCGGCCGCAACCUCGCAUUGCUCCUCGCGUCGAUGCUCACCGAGUCCUUCCUCAGUCCGCGCUCUCUCCCAGCCCAUCGUCGUGUCGUUCGUCAUCGCGUCGUGUGUGCAGCAACGUCGCUAAUUCCUCCAUGAUGCUUGUCAACGAACCUCGCUUCAUCGAUUCCUCGCCUUCGGUUCGGCUCAUGUAUGCACGCCGAAUGCGUUCGCCGCUUGACCCUGUGUCGCUAGAGCUCGUAACCUCGCUGUCGUCAAAGUCCUCACUGUAUUCAUGUUCUAGCCAGAGCUCGCGUUAACCUGCUCGACCACACCUCACCAGCUCGCUCCUGACUCGAUCUCGUCGUCGUUCCGUGCGUCAUCAAGAAAUCCCAAGAAUCGGGUGAAGACAAAGCUUGACAAAGUGCUCGACAAAAGCUCGAACAAGUCGUCGAUCGCCAUCCUCAUCUACGCCCAAGAUCCACAAAGAUUACGCGUAGAAGGAAAUAAAUCAGUACGCGACCGGAGAAUUCUCGAUGUGGAUGAAGAUGAAGCGCGAUUCGACGCAGCACUCACCCUAUUUUUGGUGAAAUGCUGAGCUGAAAGGCGUCGUCGAUUUCAUGAUUUCAAGUCAGAUUUAAUUGAUGGUACACUUAUUAAUCACGAGAUGUGGAGGACAAGAGCCAAGUCAACCCCAAGACGACGUAACGGGUGGACUACUCUACAUAGUGAAGCUGAUGGACGAGUCUGAAGAGGGGCAGACUGAACAAGUGCCAACACCAAAGGUUGAUCGUGAAGUAAUCAUCGUCUAACAACACUAACCUAGUGUUACCCAGGCAAGCCCCGGUGUAUUUGUCACCUCCUUGCUGUUUUAAAAUCUUUAUCACCUUGUUUGAUGUAUUAGGUGAUAAGAGUUGUGUGCUAAACAAUUGAUGCAUUUCCUUUCUUGGAAAAUUGAUUAUCCUUCCUUGAAAAAAAAAAAAAAA
rnacentral:lncRNA from 1 species